CGUCUUUUAGAAUGAAAGUUUCGCCAAUCGGCUUCCCUACGACAGAUCGGUGGGACUUUCGUUCGAUUAGAUG
ncrna:Patiria miniata microRNA pmi-mir-278 precursor